GUCUUCAAAAAAAGUUAAGCAAAAAUUAAGCUUCAUAAACUAAGGAGAAUCCAUGUUAUUUAAGUAACUGCAAUUACCAAAUUCAUGUGAGAUGUCUUUCAAAAAGCUUUGUCAUUUCUAGCAGUGACUAAAUGCUAUUUUACCAUAGAGCACCAUUUUUGAGGUCUAAAUUAAAUCGUUUUAUUUUUCAGCAAGUCAGAAUUGACAUUUAUUUUAGUUUAAUCCACUUUACCUCUGUCUAAGUAAGGCUGUUAUGAUUAAUACACGGGACUCGUAUCCUUUGAUGUUUCUUGACUGUUUACCAAGCGCGCGCACGACUUUUCCCAGCACGCGCUUGUGUGUGUGUGUGUGUUUGUGUGUGUGUGUGUGUGUGUGUGUGUGUGUGUGUGUGUGUGUGUGGGAGGCAUAUGGAGUAGGUCACACUCUGGAGUCAGGGCGAAACAAUCUGGAGAAAUAUAGUUUUUAAAGUCAUUGCCAUGAGAGUUGAACAGGAUUUUGAACAUGGGGAAACGUCUGAAAACUCGAGCCAAAUGCUGCUUAACCAGCUCAGAGAGAUUACUGGCAUUCAGGAUCUGCAGGUUCUCCAGAGCGCCCUGAACGCUAGUCAAGGUGACAUCAGCCAUGCCAUUGGGCUACUGACCACCCAGCCCCCAGAAGAGGAGCACAUGCCCGAAGAAACAACUAAAGCCAAUAAUGAGAGGAACACCUCCAAUACACAGAAUGGUGAGCUUAAGCGACACUAUUCAUAUCAAAUGACUUUCACGUCACCACAUUUUCCAAACAUUACCUUAUUUAUAUAGCAGUGUGACAGAUAAAGUCAUGAUGUUUAUUUUAUGCUCAUG
ensembl:lncRNA